rnacentral:rRNA from 1 species
GACGAACGCUGGCGGCGUGCUUAACACAUGCAAGUCGAACGGAAAGGCCCCCUUGUGGGGUACUCGAGUGGCGAACGGGAGAGUAACACGAGAGUAACCUACCCUUGACUUUGGGAUAACUUCAGGAAACUGGGGCUAAUACCGGAUAGGAGCUCCUGCUGCAUGGCGGGGGUUGGAAAGUUUCGGCGGUUGGGGAUGGACUCGCGGCUUAUCAGCUUGUUGGUGGGGUAGUGGCUCACCAAGGCGUUGACGGGUAGCCGGCCUGAGAGGGUGACCGGCCACAAUGGGACUGAGAUACGGACCAGACUCCUACGGGAGGCAGUAGUGGGGAAUAUUGCACAAUGGGCGGAAGCCUGAUGCAGCAACGCCGCGUGCGGGAUGACGGGCUUCGGGUUGUAAACCGAUUUCGCAUGUGACGAAGCGUGAGUGACGGUAAUGGGUAAAGAAGCACCGGCUAACUACGUG